UUUCCCUGAAGAUGAGGAAAAACAAUAUAACAGUUGAAGGAACAGAUGAUUUAUACGAGAAGUGAAAGUCUGUUAAAAGGCUGUUCUUGAUUCCCCUACAAACUUUGUUUCCUUAGCGUAAAACGGGUGGUUUCAAAAUUUUUACUGAGCAUUACUUUUAUCCAAAAUUCUAAUUAAGUGGCUUUGGAAAGAGUUUGGCAUUUAAUCAUAUAGAAAAAAGAAGGAAAACACAUUAUCUCCAGACUUACAUCUCACUACUCCCUACGAUCACAUCACCAAGGUUCAACUAGAUGAACGGGAACUACAUGUAAUUAUCAUAAUCAUGUCAGAUCUACUUUCAAGUCAUGCAUAUCUUGGCUGAUUAAAACACAGCCCAACUGUGUCAGUCACCAAAAGACAAUAUUUAACAGUUGUUGAAGAAAGAAUAAAACUAAAUCUGUUAUCUGAUUCUAAUAAGCUAAACAAGUUGCCCAAAACCAGUAUUCCUGAUAGAUAGCCCUCAAAUAUCCCUCUUCAUCUCCGAGAUAAAACUAAAGGAAUCUAAUCACUUAGUUUGGCUCCAAAGUUUAGGGUGCUUCAAGCGAGAGGGUGGAUUUGACACAUACAAGAACUCCAUCUCUAUUUAUUCACAAGCUGCCAGAACACAUAUCUGUAAAAGAUUGGUCCCACCAUAAUGGAAAUAACUACAAUAAACAAAAGAAUAAAUCCAGGGAAUAUAGAGUGACAUUCAAUAUUAGAGAUGCUCAUUUGACAUUUUUCUAGUUGAACCUAAUCACUUUAAUAUGAUUGAGAAACCUAUGUAUCAUUCUUGCAUACUAACGUGUUCAGUCUUCUGGGUUUGCAAGUCUUCCUAGCAAAAAUAAAACAACCACAUUAAAAAGAAGAAUUAAAUUAUUGGAUAUGCAUGGGAGCAAUCUUCCCUAUUUAGGUGCAUUAUAGUCAUAACUUCAACAUAUUCAUUUAUGUCAAAGAAUGUUCAACCCUCAAUUUACAAUCCAAAUCUUCUCUUGGAAAGCCACCACAGCUUUUCCUGUUAAAUUAUAAUUGUGGCAAUUUGCUCUAAAUGAGAAUACAUAAAAGCUGUAUGAAGCCUGCUGACAAGAAUGGCCAUCCUCGAUGUAACCUAUUUAUAUUGCAAUGAAGAUGGCAAAAAGCACACUAUAGAUAUAAACGACAACAACAUAUCCAGCCUUUAUCCCACUAUGUGAAGUCGGCUACAUGAAUUCUAGGCUUCCAUGUAUUUCUGUCCACACUAUAGAUAUCAAUGUAGAAAUUUUAAAUUUCUUUAUUUUGAACAGUAGUAUGUAUUGAAACAAUUUCAUUACGAAAUCCUGUGCCUCGAGCUAUAGUUAAUGAGACAUUAGUGUGUUGACUCAUGUAUAUCAAGUUCAUCUACACAUGGACCCCCCACCCCCCCAAUGGUUAUUCAUGCAACCUAGUGCAAAUCAGAUGGACUGGACCCUCAUUUGGUUGUCGACUCAACUCUCACUCUCAUGCUCUCCUCCUCUCUGUAUAUUUCUUGCAGUAGGAAUAUACAGAAGAGUAUAUGCUUUGGUUUGGGUGUUUGUGCUUUGGUGUGAUUGUUGGUAUCCAGAUUGUGGCCUUGGCGGUUACUGUGUUGGGUUCUCUGUUCUCCCCAUUGUUGGUAGCGUUGGUUUCCCUUCUGACCGAGCUUAUUCCCUCACUAUUAAGCCUAUGAUCUCUAUAAACCUUAUAUCAACCAUAUCGUAACCUAACCCCAGUUAGGCCCAUCAUCGAGAUCUGGAUGCUCCUCACUAUGCGUAGCCUGUCUACCAUUUUUUUCCAAAUGUUCUGGUUUCUGGGUUUAGAUCCAUGGAAUUUUCCUUCUGUUCUGUCAUCUUCUUGACAUGUCAAAUCUUUGAAUGCCCUUAUUGGUUCACUGGUAUGACGAAUCCAGCCAACAAAGUGGCCGGAACCCUACCACUAGCCAUUGCAAUCCCCAAAAACCUUCAUAUAUCCCAAGAAAGCUCAAAUCUAAAGAAAAAUCCAAUACUUGAGUCAUCGUAGCAGCGUAGCCAUAUGUUUUGAGAGAUUUCAACCUUUUUUUGUUGCAAGAAACACAUCUCUGUUUGGUUACAAGGACAAACUACCCUAACCCUGGAUUAGACAACCCUAUCCUAGAAUAGGGCCUCAUUGGGGAUAGCCCCAUCCCUGUCAGGAACUGGCCCCAAUUUGGGCCAUAUAGCCCAUCCACAAGUGAAAUCAGCCCAAGCACAAUUGGAGCAAGCAAAGAUGCCUAAGCCCUGGCACAAGCCUAGUCUGAGCUUUCCAAGCCAACCAAUCCUUGGAGACAUGGGUCAGCCUAGUGGGUUUGGGCUUGACCUAAGCCCACUCGAGCUUUGACCAUGUGGUUAGUACAUCAAGCCCACACCAAAGCCUGAAUUGACUCAAACCCAGACCCAAUAUGUGUUGGCCUGACCCAUUGAACCAGUUCGACUCACUAAGUCAGCCUAAGUUGACUUAGAUUAGAUGAUCCAUCAACUGGGUAAACUCAGCUGACCAGGUUGACUGAGCUGACCCGUUCACCUGGCCGACCCAGUCCGUUGGUUGCUAACCAUUGACCGAUAGCAUCAGCAAGGUGAUGUCAUCUUGAUGACAUCACCUUGCUGCUGUCAACAAUGAUGACAGAAACUGUCCAAUGUGUUUAUUGAGAUACAUUCACCUCCUUUUCUACAUUGGUUUGUCUGUUUUUGUAACAGAAUCUGUCAACAAUAAUGUGUUUACAAGGACAAACUACCCUAACCCUGGAUUAGACAACCCUAUCCUAGAAUAGGGCCUCACUGGGGAUAGCCCCAUCCCUGUCAGGAACUGGCCCCAAUUUGGACCAUAUAGCCCAUCCGCAAGUGAAAUCAGUCCAAGCACAAUUGGAGCAAGCAAAGAUGCCCAAGCCUUGGCCUAAGCCCUGGCACAAGCCUAGUCUGAGCUUUCCAAGCCAACCAAUCCUUGGAGACAUGGGUCAGCCUAGUGGGUUUGGGCUUGACCUAAGCCCACUUGAGCUUUGACCAUAUGGCUAGUACAUCAAGCCCACACCAAAGCCUGAAUUGACUCAAACCCAGACCCAAUAUGUGUUGGCCCGACCCAUUGAACCAGUUGGACUCACUAAGUCAGCCUAAGUUGACUUAGAUGAUCCAUCAACUGGGUAAACUCAGCUGACCGGGUUGACUGAGUUGACCCAUUCACCUGGCUGACCCAACCCGUUGGUUGCUAACCAUUGACCAAUAACAUCAGCAAGGUGAUGUCAUCUUGAUGACAUCAUCAUGCUGCUGUCAACAAUGAUGACAGAAACUGUCCAGUGUGUUUAUUGAGAUAUAUUCAUCUCCUUUUCUACAUUUGUUUGUCUGUUUUUGUAACAUGUGGCAUACAGUUAAGAGUGAUAGAUUAGUAUAGUUACGAUUAAUUUAGUCAACAUAAUGCAUGUUAAGAGUACGGACUGAUACAGUUAUAUGUAGCCAGACACCCAGUGAGAGGCUCAGCUAUUCAGCUCUUCCAACUAGCAUUAUAAGUGGAUGGUUUAUGUUAUGAUGAGUUCUCUACAUGUACUCUUUUAUUGCAUGUUCGUGCGUUCUAUCUAUUAUUGUCCUGUAACUGCCAUGUCAUUAACUGUCAAAAACUUGGUUUAUAUUGCAUAUGCAAACUUAUUUUAUAACUCUAGUGAGACGGGUCUGUCACCUUGAUGAUGGUAUCUUGACAUAAUUUACUACAUUGAGAUAUAGACGUUGAGGCUUAUUUAUGCGUGCAAUGUGAUUAAUGCAUGACAUGGUGCUUUACUGUGGAUCCCUGUUUUUACAUUAUUAACUUGAGAUCGGCAUGCUUAUUUGGAAGUAGGAUUGGUAGGACACUGAUCUUAACGACAGAUUUGUAGUGGUGCAUCACCAUCACCCUAAGUUAGCACCUUAGCAGAGAGUUGCUAACCCAUGUGGGGGCUACACGCGUGGCUUAUGGUUAUACGUAGUCAAUUGAAGGACAUUGAUACUCAGGCUUGUGCCUACCAGAUAUGGUGCUGAGUAGUUGAAUGUUUGGCAUGAUCCUGCUCCUUCAUCCAGUAUUCUGUAUGCACGCUUCUGGGAUGUGCAUAUGUUAGGGCACAUACACUAAAAUAUUUUGUAUAUUGAUCCCACACAUUUUUACAUAUUGAUUAGUAUUUUCCUCUUUACUUUAAAAUGAUGGCACAUAUAUAUGAUGACAGGAAUUGUCCAUCCAAAGAUGAUGUAGUCCUUUGAUACCUUUAAAUGAUAUACAUACAUGAGAUAUAUUUAGACCUGAGCAUUGUGCACAAAGUUGUACAAGAGAUGAUGAUAGAAUAGAUUUAUCACCCUACCCA